GUGCUCACUUUGGCAGCACAUAUACUAAAAUUGGAACGAUACAGAGAAGAUAAGCAUAGCCUCUGUGCAAGGAUGACAUGAAAAUCCCUGAAGUGUUACAUAAUUUU